UCCGAUAAAGGCAAGGAAAUUGCAUCCGAGGACCAGUAGACAGAGUGCUUCGAAAGUCUGCAUUCUAGACAUUGUGAGUAAACUUACUGUCAUUUUAAUUAUCUAGGGUGGUUUUUAGAUGCUUUCAUGAAUUCUAUGGAAAAAGGAAUUUAAAAAGAUAAAUUUUCAUGUUUUAUGAAUAAAUGAGUUUCAAUGAAAUUAAAUUAUAAAUUGUUUUGAAAUUAAUAGUGAUUUUGAAAAAUAGAGUACACGGAGACUGUUAAUUGUGGCAAUUUGAUUGUUUAAAUUAACUGGCUUAUGAUAAAUCGAGCAUGAUUGGUUAGUUGGCAAUUGUAUUGAAAUGCGAAUUGUUUGGUUACCUUGAAAAACUACGAAUUACAAAAUUGCCAUAUCAUGUUAUUGAGUUUUAUUAUAUGGUGGAUUAUAUAUUAAUUAAUCACUGCAGUAGGGGGUUUCUGUGGACCAGCCUUUUAGAAGCGCACGGUAAACCCCAUUAUAUUCUUACCUCGAACGGAGAGGCGCGUAGGGUAUCUCCUGGGGUAAAGUUUAGGGUUCACUUCACGCUAAACCACCACGUGAGGGGGAACUCAGCCAACGCCAAGGAACGGCUAUGUUUUCAAAACAAAAACAUGAUUUAUGUGAAAUGUGAAUUUUAAUAGCCUUGGUGGUCUCGGUAGGAUGCCUCGGCCAAGGUGUCCCCGAGAAUGGAUUUAUGGCACAAGCCUAGAUUUUUAUGAGAUUCAUAAGCCUUUUUACGUAUUUUGAACGAGAUGUGUUCUAAUUGUAUAACCCAGUUUAUGAUGAUUUACUUUAUUGUCUCAAUGUACUCAACUCUAGAUGUUUAUGUUGAUGUCUGUUUACUCAUUGGGAUUUUAUAAUCUCACCACCCUCAUUUCCACCCAUUUUAGGUUCAGUAUAGACUGUAGAUAGCUGAUCUCAUCGAGGACUACAGUGGGAUCUGCAUUUUCCAAACCGUAGGUUCACAGUCCUCUUUACUUUUGUUUAUUCGGGGGCAUUCUUGUUAUUGUAAAUUAAAUUAAAUAUUUUGG
rnacentral:lncRNA from 1 species